rnacentral:lncRNA from 10 species
CAAAGACUUGGAGCCACUUUCUACUUGUAGAGGUUCGUGCCAUCUGGAGACACUGGAAGUGAAAAACAACAUUAUUUUUAACACUCAGUGACAGUGCUGCCAAAACUUCUACCACUAUUUAACAAGCAUCACCUUCUUUUAAGCCUUCGAUGACAAUAUCUCAUCUGUAUUUCCACUCUUCACCAACAAGUUCUUAGAGUUCCUUCUUGCCUUCACCUACCACCUGGUCCAAAGGCAUUGCCACGUAUUUUAACUUUUGUUAUAUCAGCUUCCGACUUUCAGGAAUUUGUACAUGUCUGGCCUGGUAAUUCUUCUCUUCUGCUUGAGAUCAGUGGAGCUCACAUGGUGGCACUGAGCUCAAUGAAUGGCUGAUCUGGAGGGUCCAGGAUGCAAUCAUUCAUUUGUCUUGUGCCUUAGAGGGAAAGGCUGAAACUGUUCAAGAUAGCUUCUGCAAUAGUCAGACUUCUUAAAUGUCAACUACAGACAGUCAAUGAUGAUGCUCUAAGACAUCAAAGGGAAAGUUGCAGCUUUUAAUGACCUUGCCUCAGAAGUCCUCCAAAAUCACUUCCACUGCAUUCUAUAAGUCAAGCAAGUCACUAAAACCAGCCCAGAUUCAAGUGGCAACGAAUUAGACUUCACUUCUCAGUGGGAAUAGUAGCAAAGCAUUUGUGUCAUUGUUCAUCUGCUACAUAAGCCAUUCUAGCUAACACUAGAUUCUAUAGACCAUGCUCUAUAAUGUGCAAUAUUUCAAAAUCUUCGAUUUCACUUUAUCGUUGAUAUAAUAGAUCCUCAAAGUGGCUAUUUUUCAAUUCAUAAAAUGCAUCUUGUUUAUUUAAUAUAGUUUAUUUCUAGAAUUCUAUGACCUUAUGACUUAGGUUAGAAAUUAUACUAUCAAGAACUAUACAAAGGUAAAACAAUCUCUUAUCACUAGCAAGAAAACCAGCAAUUAAAUAAAACACUUAAUAAACCAUGAAGGUUCUGUUAAGGAAAGAAACGAGGUAUUUGAUAGAGAAUGACUAGGGGAUGUCCUUUUAAUUGACCAAAAAGGGGAAUCCUGGUGACAUUGGAAAGGAGAUGUAGACAUUGUACUUUCUUUUCUUACAUAAGGCUAUAGCCACCAUUGAUAGAGGUGGUAAUUUUUAUUAUUAAUAUAAUAACGUACAUCCCAUGAGCAAUCAAUACAUGCUGUUUUGACAAUGUCAUUUACAGUGACAAUCGAUAUAGUGCAGAUAUAAGAUUAAAGGAUUUUUCUUUGUUUGUAAG